rnacentral:rRNA from 1 species
UCGAGGGGUAGAGGAAGCUUGCUUCCUUGAGACCGGCGCACGGGUGCGUAACGCGUAUGCAAUCUACCUUUUACAGGGGAAUAGCCCAGAGAAAUUUGGAUUAAUGCCCCAUAGUGUAAUUGAAUGGCAUCAUUUGAUUACUAAAGUUCCAACGGUAAAAGAUGAGCAUGCGUCCUAUUAGCUAGUUGGUGUGGUAACGGCACACCAAGGCAACGAUAGGUAGGGGUCCUGAGAGGGAGAUCCCCCACACUGGUACUGAGACACGGACCAGACUCCUACGGGAGGCAGCAGUGAGGAAUAUUGGACAAUGGGCGCAAGCCUGAUCCAGCCAUGCCGCGUGCAGGAAGAAGCAUCUAUGGUGUGUAAACUGCUUUUGUACGGGAAGAAACACUCCUACGUGUAGGAGCUUGACGGUACCGUAAGAAUAAGGAUCGGCUAACUCCGUGCCAGCAGCCGCGGUAAUACGGAGGAUCCAAGCGUUAUCCGGAAUCAUUGGGUUUAAAGGGUCCGUAGGCGGUUUAAUAAGUCAGUGGUGAAAUCUGGUCGCUCAACGAUCAAACGGCCAUUGAUACUGUUAGACUUGAAUUACUAGGAAGUAACUAGAAUAUGUAGUGUAGCGGUGAAAUGCUUAGAUAUUACAUGGAAUACCAAUUGCGAAGGCAGGUUACUACUAGUGGAUUGACGCUG